GUUAGCAUUUGCCAGUGACUUUUGUAAGUCUUUAGCUGACACUCUAGGAUUCUUCUUCACCUCAUUGAGCAGUCUGCGCUGUGCUCUUGCAGUCAUCUUUACAGGACGGCCACUCCUAGGGAGAGUAGCAGCAGUGCUGAACUUUCUCCAUUUAUAGACAAUUUGUCUUACCGUGGACUGAUGAACAGCAAGGCUUUUGGGGAUACUUUUAUAACCCUUUCCAGCUUUAUGCAAGUCAACAAUUCUUAAUCGUAGGUCUUCUGAGAGCUCUUUUGUGCGAGGCACCAUUCACAUCAGGCAAUGCUUCUUGUGAAAAGCAAACCCAGAACUGGUG